rnacentral:misc_RNA from 1 species
AACGCAACUUGCGCUCUCUGGUAUUCCGGAGAGCAUGCCUGUUUGAGUGUCAUGAAAUCUCAACCAUUAGGGUUUCUUAAUGGCUUGGAUUCGGGUGUUGCCAGUCUCUGGCUCGCCUUAAAGGAGUUAGCGAGUUUAACAAUGUCGUCUGGCGUAAUAAGUUUCGCUGGUAAGACUUGUGAAGUUUGCUUCUAAUCGUCUUCGGACAAUUACUUUGACUCUGGCCCCAAAUCAGGUAGGACUACCCGCUGAACUUAA